GUAAUAAGAUAAAUACGGAAAAUCGGAGAAAACAACGCAUUAGCCACACUGCAGGCACGAAGAGCUUUGCGCGAAUACGUGAAGAAGAGAAAAACAAGAGGGCCAAUGGGGAGGAUUUGACCUAAGUAGAUAUGUUCUUGUUGACACAUAGACGCAAGAAUGGGAUGCCUGUGGAUGAGGCCUCAGCAAGAGCAAUGGAACAAUUAAAUGAACGAACUUCGCAGCAGCCAGAGGCUUCACAUAAUAGCACUGCGAGGAAAGAUAUAUUCUCAGAAGUCAUGGGUGACGAACGACAUGGCCGUGUCCGCACUUAUGGGUUUGGUCCCUCUCCU